GUCGAGCGGUAGCACGGGGGAGCUUGCUCCCCGGGUGACGAGCGGCGGACGGGUGAGUAAUGUCUGGGAAACUGCCUGAUGGAGGGGGAUAACUACUGGAAACGGUAGCUAAUACCGCAUAACGUCGCAAGACCAAAGAGGGGGACCUUCGGGCCUCUUGCCAUCAGAUGUGCCCAGAUGGGAUUAGCUAGUAGGUGGGGUAAUGGCUCACCUAGGCGACGAUCCCUAGCUGGUCUGAGAGGAUGACCAGCCACACUGGAACUGAGACACGGUCCAGACUCCUACGGGAGGCAGCAGUGGGGAAUAUUGCACAAUGGGCGCAAGCCUGAUGCAGCCAUGCCGCGUGUGUGAAGAAGGCCUUCGGGUUGUAAAGCACUUUCAGCGAGGAGGAAGGUGGUGAACUUAAUACGUUCAUCAAUUGACGUUACUCGCAGAAGAAGCACCGGCUAACUCCGUGCCAGCAGCCGCGGUAAUACGGAGGGUGCAAGCGUUAAUCGGAAUUACUGGGCGUAAAGCGCACGCAGGCGGUUUGUUAAGUCAGAUGUGAAAUCCCCGGGCUCAACCUGGGAACUGCACUUGAAACUGGCAAGCUAGAGUCUCGUAGAGGGGGGUAGAAUUCCAGGUGUAGCGGUGAAAUGCGUAGAGAUCUGGAGGAAUACCGGUGGCGAAGGCGGCCCCCUGGACGAAGACUGACGCUCAGGUGCGAAAGCGUGGGGAGC
rnacentral:rRNA from 1 species